rnacentral:tRNA from 1 species
UGGGGUAUAGCUCAGUGUUAGGGCACAUGCUUAGCACACAUGAGGUCCUGGGUUCAAUCCCCAGUACCUCCA